rnacentral:misc_RNA from 1 species
UGGUUCUGGCAUCGAUGAAGAACGCAGCGAAAUGCGAUAAGUAAUGUGAAUUGCAGAAUUCAGUGAAUCAUCGAAUCUUUGAACGCACAUUGCGCCCCUUGGUAUUCCGAGGGGCAUGCCUGUUCGAGCGUCAUUAUAACCACUCAAGCUUUGGCUUGGUAUUGGGGUUCGCGGUCUCGCGACCCUUAAAAUCAGUGGCAGUGCCGUCUGGCUCUAAGCGUAGUAAUUUUUCUCGCUACAGGGUCUGGUGGUUGCUUGCCAUUAACCCCCCAUUUUCUCAGGUUGACCUCGGAUCAGGUAGGGAUACCCGCUGA